rnacentral:rRNA from 1 species
GUCUGCCGCCAGACCGCCCUGAGCGCCCGACCUCGUCUGAUCUCCGAAGCUGAGCGGGGUCGAGCCUGGUCGUAUUUGGAUGGGAGACCGCCUGGGAACACCGGGUGCUGGAGGCU